rnacentral:rRNA from 1 species
AGUGAACGCUGGCGGUAGGCCUAACACAUGCAAGUCGAACGGCAGCACAGUAAGAGCUUGCUCUUACGGGUGGCGAGUGGCGGACGGGUGAGGAAUACAUCGGAAUCUACUUUUUCGUGGGGGAUAACGUAGGGAAACUUACGCUAAUACCGCAUACGACCUACGGGUGAAAGCAGGGGAUCUUCGGACCUUGUGCGAUUGAAUGAGCCGAUGUCGGAUUAGCUAGUUGGCGGGGUAAAGGCCCACCAAGGCGACGAUCCGUAGCUGGUCUGAGAGGAUGAUCAGCCACACUGGAACUGAGACACGGUCCAGACUCCUACGGGAGGCAGCAGUGGGGAAUAUUGGACAAUGAGCGCAAGCCUGAUCCAGCCAUACCGCGUGGGUGAAGAAGGCCUUCGGGUUGUAAAGCCCUUUUGUUGGGAAAGAAAAGCAGCAGGUUAAUACCCCGCUGUUCUGACGGUACCCAAAGAAUAAGCACCGGCUAACUUCGUG